rnacentral:rRNA from 1 species
AGAACGAACGCUGGCGGCAGGCCUCAAACAUGCAAGUCUAGGGGGUGUAGCAAUACAUCACCGGCGGACGGGUGCGUAACGCGUGGGAAUGUACCUAUUGGUUCGGAACAACACAGGGAAACUUGUGCUAAUACCGGAUGAGCCCGAAAGGGGAAAGAUUUCUCGCCAAUAGAUCAGCCCGCGUCCGAUUAGCUAGUUGGUGGGGUUAAAGCCUACCAAGGCGACGAUCGGUAGCUGUUCUGAGAGGAAGAUCAGCCACACUGGGACUGAGACACGGCCCAGACUCCUACGGGAGGCAGCAGUUGGGAAUCUUGGACAAUGGGGGAAACCCUGAUCCAGCCAUGCCGCGUGAGUGAUGAAGGCCUUCGGGUUGUAAAACUCUUUCGACGGGGACGAUAAUGACGGUACCGUAGAAGAAGCUCCGGCUAACUUCGCGCCAGCAGCCGC